ensembl:lncRNA
GGGGGUAGGUACUCACCUUGCAGACUUAAGUACCACAACGGGCUGAAUUUCGUAAAGCAGAAGCUCGUGGAGGCUCUCCGGGCUGAGCAGGAGCUGUAGCUCCAGCCCCCAGGGCCAGGCGGAGCAGGAGCUGGAGUCACAGCAAGACUAAGAAAACCUGCCUGCUGCCUUUCGAGUGACCCAAAGUCUCCAAAUUGAGAUUCUGCAGGAGGCCAGCUGCUAGUGCGCCUGCGCUGAAUGUAUGCGGCCAGCUGGGUCUGGGACCGCCCCUGCGUCCUGAGCUGCGAUGGACGCAGCUGCCCACAGUAGCCUCAAGACAACUUCUGGCCUGGACCACCCUGGUUAAAGGGACUGCCGCUUCUUUGGACACAAGCAACCUGGCUGACAAGGGUGGCACUGCGACGCCAGGCUUCAUCUGUGGUCGCCUCGCCUCUGCCUGGAGUGCGUGCCCUAAGCCCAGGCCCUUCAGCCAAGGGCUCAGAUAAAGCGUUCACCCGCUACCUGGUUAAUGACGCAUCCUGUUUGCCCCCUGCCCUUUUGUGUUGGCCAGUGCCUUUGCUUCCAGGCCCGUAUCCCAGCCUUCCACGAGAACGGCGGGUCUCCCCAUCCAUGCGUCUUCCCCCAAACCGCUUCCAAGGGAGGCAGUGACCACCUGUGUGGAUGGUGGGACACUCGGUGUCUGGGGUUGUCACCACGACCCGGGUGCUGGGCUGCCUGCAGACGCUAACGUGCUGAGAAUCACUGCUGUCUGGGCCUCUCACAGUGGCAGCCUGCUGCUCUGGGACGCCUUCGCAGGCAUUUGGGUAGAACUCAGCAGUGGAGCAGCAGGGUCAGCUGUGAUUAAUCUGCAGAAUUACCAAACAAGCUUUCUGUGGCUUGGAAAGGACUGGAAGCAUUUGGAAUCAAGUGGUGCAUGCGUGUUGUUUCAGUCGUCUCUGACUCUCUGCGACCCCAUGGAUGAUAACCCACCAGGCUCCUCUGUCCACAGGAUUAUCCUGGCAAAAAUACUGAAGUGGGUUGCCAUUUCCUUCCUCCAGUGGGAUCUUCCCAACCCAGGGAUCAAACCCAUGUCUCCGGUGUCUCCUGCUUUGGCAGGCAGGUUC